rnacentral:rRNA from 1 species
UACAGAGGUGGCAAGCGUUGUUCGGAAUUACUGGGCGUAAAGGGCGCGUAGGCGGCCAUCUAAGUCAGACGUGAAAUCCCCCGGCUUAACCUGGGAACUGCGUCUGAUACUGGAAGGCUUGAGUAUGGGAGAGGGAUGCGGAAUUCCAGGUGUAGCGGUGAAAUGCGUAGAUAUCUGGAGGAACACCGGUGGCGAAGGCGGCAUCCUGGACCGAGAUUGACGCUGAGGCGCGAAAGCCAGGGGAGCAAACGGG